GACGAACGCUGGCGGCGUGCCUAAUACAUGCAAGUAGAACGCUGAAGGAGGAGCUUGCUUCUCCGGAUGAGUUGCGAACGGGUGAGUAACGCGUAGGUAACCUGCCUGGUAGCGGGGGAUAACUAUUGGAAACGAUAGUUAAUACCGCAUAACAGUAGAUAUUGCAUGAUAUCUGCUUGAAAGGUGCAAAUGCAUCACUACCAGAUGGACCUGCGUUGUAUUAGCUAGUUGGUGGGGUAACGGCUCACCAAGGCGACGAUACAUAGCCGACCUGAGAGGGUGAUCGGCCACACUGGGACUGAGACACGGCCCAGACUCCUACGGGAGGCAGCAGUAGGGAAUCUUCGGCAAUGGACGGAAGUCUGACCGAGCAACGCCGCGUGAGUGAAGAAGGUUUUCGGAUCGUAAAGCUCUGUUGUAAGAGAAGAACGAGUGUGAGAGUGGAAAGUUCACACUGUGACGGUAUCUUACCAGAAAGGCGGCU
rnacentral:rRNA from 1 species